GGCUGAGAGAUCAGCUGUUCCCUUCGGGGACAGAAUGACAGGUGGUGCAUGGUUGUCGUCAGCUCGUGUCGUGAGAUGUUGGGUUAAGUCCCGCAACGAGCGCAACCCUUAUUGUCAGUUGCCAGCAUUUAGUUGGGCACUCUGGCGAGACUGCCGGUGACAAACCGGAGGAAGGUGGGGAUGACGUCAAAUCAUCAUGCCCUUAUGACCUGGGCUACACACGUGCUACAAUGGACGGUACAACGAGUCGCGAAACCGCGAGGUCAAGCUAAUCUCUUAAAGCCGUUCUCAGUUCGGACUGUAGGCUGCAACUCGCCUACAUGAAAUCGGAGUCGCUAGUAAUCGCAGAUUAACAACGCUGCGGUGAAUACAUUCCCCGGUCUUGUACACACCGA
rnacentral:rRNA from 1 species